rnacentral:rRNA from 1 species
CGGCAGGCCUAACACAUGCAAGUCGAGGGGUAACAGGGAGUGCUUGCACUCUGCUGACGACCGGCGCACGGGUGCGUAACGCGUAUACAAUCUGCCUUAUACUGGGGGAUAGCCUUUGGAAACGAAGAUUAAGACCCCAUAGUAUGUGAUGAUGGCAUCAUCGACACAUUAAAGGUUACGGUAUAAGAUGAGUAUGCGUCCUAUUAGUUAGUUGGUAAGGUAACGGCUUACCAAGACGACGAUAGGUAGGGGCCCUGAGAGGGGGAUCCCCCACACUGGUACUGAGACACGGACCAGACUCCUACGGGAGGCAGCAGUGAGGAAUAUUGGACAAUGGGGGCAACCCUGAUCCAGCCAUGCCGCGUGCAGGAAGACGGCCCUAUGGGUUGUAAACUGCUUUUAUACAGGAAAGAAACAGCUCUACGUGUAGAGCCUUGACGGUACUGUAAGAAUAAGGACCGGCUAACUCCGUGCCAGCAGCCGCGGUAAUACGGAGGGUCCGAGCGUUAUCCGGAAUCAUUGGGUUUAAAGGGUCCGUAGGCGGCUAUUAGUCAGAGGUGAA